rnacentral:lncRNA from 1 species
CUUAAAGUUGUAUUGUUAUUAGUAUUUUUAUUAUUACUUUAAUUUUAUAAUUUGACCAGAAAUUAUAUUUUAAUUUUAUCACACUCGUAAAACCUCAUUAUGGGAGUGUUUUGCAUUGAACUUGCAUGAGGGAUAUCAAAUUUGACCACGCUUUUUUUUAAUAAUACACAACUUUCUAAAGGCAUUAAUUGAAUUGAGUUAAAAACUGGAUAGAAAAAUCACAAAAUUGUAUAUUUCUAGGACCAAAGUACUAGUUUAUGGAUUAAAAUAAGAAAAUCACAAAUUGAGCCUACAGUAGCAGCAUAUACCAGCUUUCUUUUUGCUAACUCACUAUUUUGAAUAUAUAUGUCAUACACAGCAAUUGUCACCCGUCCCUCUCUGUGGUGCAUAUCUUAUCACAGAUAGGUAACGUUUUUGGUGUCUUCUUAAAAAGAACAGAUGGUAUGUGUCUCCUGCUCAUGUGGCAAAGGGAAACAGCAAGGGAUUUUGACCUAGCUUCCACAGUAUACUAGUGAGUGUAAAAAUUAGGUCAAUGUUAUUGGAUACUGAUUUAUUUCACUAGACUACGAGGGUAAAAUUCAGUGGCAGAGACAGGACAUUUUGUGAUCCUGCCCUUUCAAAAAUGUCCAUUGUCCACAGUAGUUUCUCUACACCUGUGAAUAUUCUUAAGGGUUGUGUAUUUAUUUACUCUCAAAGUUAUAUAUCUGCUAAAAUUGCAUCAAUAAUUGCCACUGUUACACAUUAGAAAGGCAGUGAUGGUGAUGAUUUUCAGUAGCACCACUCCAGCAUGUUGACUGCCUUGGAUAAAUCCCCCAUCUUAUUCAAUUUAUGACAUCUGUUAUAUAAAAAAAGUUUUUAAAAAACCCCUUCAGUUUAACAUAAGAAUAGGGAGUAAAUAUAUAUAAACAUUUUUUUGGAGGAAAGGGCAAAGAGAGUGUGUCUGCUAACUGACUAACAAAGUCUAAAAUGCAACAUUUGUGUGAAAUUUACAUUCGUAAUGAUGUUUACAGUAAAUGUUUAAGCAAAAAGAUUAAAAAAAAUAUAUAGAUUCCAAUCAUGUGGGACAGUUUAAUAAAUAAAAACAAAACAAAAAAAAACUAACUGCCAUGCUUGUGGGGAUAUUUCAAUACAUUGUUGAAUUUUACACUGUCAUUUUUCUUCUAAAUGUUUUGUUCAUUACAUUUUGAAAUGUAAUUUCUAAAUUUUCCAUCAGACAUGUUUGAUACUGUCAAUGAGUUAGGAGCUAAUAUCCAAUACACUUUACUAAACCUGCAGUAGACUAGGAAUGCUGGAUUGAGCCAGCUCUGAUGUGAUUACCUAAGAGGAUGUAGUGCUAAGGUUUGUGUCAUAUAAUUCUCCAUUAGCCAUUGUCUACAAAUCACCGAGGUGAACAUUAAAAUGGUUAUAAGCAUUUGGUGUGUUUUUAAACUACUCACAAUGUAUUCAGUCACUGCAAACAAUUAUCUUUGUAGUUAUCCACUGAAUCAUACUAUUUUACAAAAUUCCUUAUCUAAGUCUGUAAUUUUGCACUUUGCAUAUUUUUUAAUUUAAU